CCCUGGUAGGGUCUUGCUCCAACAUGUCUCUACAUGAAUGAAACCUGCAGUCUUUGUCAUGUCUGCUUUGUGUGUAUCCAGAGAGAAAUUGCAGAAGUCCUCUCUAAGCAAAUAUCUAGAUUGGACAGGACAAACACAAAACAGCUUUACAGAUUCAUUCAUGGCCUUAAUGAAGUGGUGGACGUGCUUUGGAUUAGAAAUGUGUUGUGGGAUUUUGCUUUUGUAUAAUCCAAAUUUUAUUUAACUAAUUUAAAUCACAGUUUGUGAUAACAUUCCAGUUCUGUUUUUAUAAAAGUGUGUGUCAUUUUUACAUGCCAUUAAAUCUGGUGAAACUUAAAGGUUUUCACUAAGUCGAACUCUA